AGGUCAUGUCUACUGUACCUUUAUCACGGGUAGGCACUCGAUCAUGCUGUGGGUAUUCGGAUACCUUAGACGUUUAUCGUCGAGAGUGUGAUGUGAGGUCGGGUUCAAUGCCCG
rfam:Paenibacillus rhizosphaerae strain FSL R5-0378 NODE_1_length_2436333_cov_1.26966_ID_3960, whole genome shotgun sequence.